rnacentral:rRNA from 1 species
UACGUAGGGGGCAAGCGUUGUCCGGAAUCAUUGGGCGUAAAGAGCGUGUAGGCGGCCAGAAAAGUCCGCUGUGAAAACUCGAGGCUCAACUUCGAGCUGUCGGUGGAAACUUUCUGGCUAGAGUCCGGAAGAGGAGAAUGGAAUUCCUGGUGUAGCGGUGAAAUGCGCAGAUAUCAGGAAGAACACCCGUGGCGAAGGCGGUUCUCUGGGGACGGUACUGACGCUGAGACGCGAAAGCGUGGGGAGCAAACAGG